UUUUUUUUUUUUUUUUUUUUUUUUUUUUUCCCACACAGAGGCCAUGCACUCAAGGCAUGCAAAAGUUCCUGGGCUGGGGAUCAAGCUCAUGCCAUAGAAGCAACCUGGGCCAUAGCAGUGACAACGCUGGAUCCUUACUCUGCUGUGCUGCAAGGGUACUUUUCACAUUCUUGAUUAUGGUGCAAAAGGUUUUUUUUCUCUUUUUACAGCUGCACCUUCAGCAUGUGGAAGUUCCCGGGCUAGGGAUUGAAUCAGAGCUGCAGGUGCAGGCCUGCACCACAACCACGGCAACAUUGGAUCUGAGCCGUUAUCUGUGGCCUGCCCUGCAGUUUACAGCAAUGCUGGAUCCUUAACCCACUGAGUGAGGCCAGGGGUUGAACCUGCAUCCUCACGGAUACUAUGUCGGAUUCUUAACAAGGGAAACUCCAACACAAAAGUCUUAAAUUUUUAAUUUUGUUGAAGUCCAUUUUAUCUAUUAAAUUUUUUUUGGUUACUUGUGUAUUUAUAUCAUAAAUAUGUGUAUUUAUUUUCUUUAAGGAAAAUUCUGAAAACUUGAAUCAAUUAUUUGCUAUAAGGGAGAAUUCAGAGCUGAAUUCUACACCUUUAAUAAACAGAUAACUCUCAUAUUGUUAAAACUAGCCCACAUGAAAAGGAGAAGAGUUCCUAAUUUGAUUUUAUGAAGUUACUAUAACCUGAAUAAAAUCUGAAUAGAAAAGGAAAUUUAAAAUAAUCUCAUUUAUAAAUUCCAAUAAAAAUUUCAAUAUAGUACAGCAAUGUAUCAAAGGAUUAAUACACAGUAAACAAGAUGGGUUUAUUCCAGGAAUAGGUCAAUAUCAGGAUGGCUUAAUACCAUGAAACAUACUGGCAUAAUUUAUCACUUUAACAACUUAAAAGGAAAAUUGAUUAUUCCAAUAAAGUUAAUAAUGUUAAGCAAGUAUUUCUAACAAAUAUGCCAAGAUAGAAAAUAAUGACAUUUAUUUAAACAUUUAUCAAAAACCAACAGAAAGCAUUGUACUAAAUGUGGAAAAUCUAAGCUGUUCUAUUUUAUGAGGGAAAGAUGGGAAUGCCCUGAUAUCCUCAUCAUUAUUUUCAAGGUUCUAGGGAUCAGAAAAUUAAUACUGGUUGUAAUUAUUGGACAAGAAGAAAACUAUUAAUGUGAUUGUAUUACUAGGAAAACCAUGAGGUUCUGAAAUUAUGAGUAAAUUUGGUAAACUGACUAGAAACAAUGUAAGUAUACAUGAGCCAAGAUAUUAGCAAUAAGCAUCCACAGUCAAAAUAAGAAAAAUAUUUCAUUCACAUUAGCAACAAAAAUUAUAAAUGGAACUAAGUUAAUUAGCAAAGAAUAAGGACUCUGUGCAUAAAAUCAUAAAAAUCUUACUGAGGGAUGUGAAACAUCUAACAAAUGAAAAAUUCCGUGGUCCUGGGAAGAAAGAAAAAGUAUCAUGCAAAUGUUAACUCUUCCAAAAUUAAUAUAUUCACUUCAGGCAGUUGCAGUUAGAAUCAAGAGUUUUAUUUGGAAUUGAAGAGAAGUAAUCCUAAGGUCCAUGUAGAAGAUUAAAUGAAUUUUUGCCUCCCCCAAAAUAAAUAAAUAAGAAGCAUGAGACUAGCCUAGGAAAUUAGAAAAAAAUGAAACUCUUGGAGAGAGAGAUGCCUUACCAGAGCAAAUACUCUCUGAAAAAUCAUGUCAUUGUUAUACAAAUUUACCAGGAGAACAAAGAAACGUAAUUGAGACUCAGAACUAUGUCUUGCUAUACUUGAGAAUUUAAUAUAUCACAACAGUUAUUUUCAGUGGGAAAAGAUGAUUUAUUUAAUAAAUUGUGUUGGCCUCACCAGCAUUCAGGAAUAAAUAUAAAAUUGAACCCCAGGAUUAUAUAUAUGAGAAUAAGAUCCAGAAGAAUUAGAACCUUAAAUGGAAAAAAAAAAAA
ensembl:lncRNA